rnacentral:rRNA from 1 species
GUGAACGCUGGCGGCAGGCCUAACACAUGCAAGUCGAGCGGCAGCGCGGGGGCAACCCUGGCGGCGAGCGGCGGACGGGUGAGGAAUUCGUCGGAAUCUGCCUUUUUGUGGGGGAUAACGUAGGGAAACUUACGCUAAUACCGCAUACGUCCUACGGGAGAAAGUGGGGGACCGCAAGGCCUCACGCAGAAAGAUGAGCCGACGACCGAUUAGCUAGUUGGGGGGGUAAAGGCCCACCAAGGCGACGAUCGGUAGCUGGUCUGAGAGGAUGAUCAGCCACACUGGGACUGAGACACGGCCCAGACUCCUACGGGAGGCAACAGUGGGGAAUAUUGGACAAUGGGCGCAAGCCUGAUCCAGCCAUGCCGCGUGUGUGAAGAAGGCCUUCGGGUUGUAAAGCACUUUUGUCCGGAAAGAAAUCCCUGGAGCUAAUACCUUCGGGGGAUGACGGUACCGGAAGAAUAAGCACCGGCUAACUUCGUG